rnacentral:rRNA from 1 species
AUUGAACGCUGGCGGCAUGCCUUAUACAUGCAAGUCGAACGGUAACGCGGGGCAACCUGGCGACGAGUGGCGAACGGGUGAGUAACGCAUCGGAACGUACCCAGUAGUGGGGGAUAGCCCGGCGAAAGCCGGAUUAAUACCGCAUACGACCUACGGGUGAAAGCGGGGGAUCGCAAGACCUCGCGCUAUUGGAGCGGCCGAUGUCAGAUUAGGUAGUUGGUGGGGUAAAGGCCUACCAAGCCUACGAUCUGUAGCUGGUCUGAGAGGACGACCAGCCACACUGGGACUGAGACACGGCCCAGACUCCUACGGGAGGCAGCAGUGGGGAAUUUUGGACAAUGGGCGCAAGCCUGAUCCAGCCAUGCCGCGUGCGGGAAGAAGGCCUUCGGGUUGUAAACCGCUUUUGUCAGGGAAGAAACGCUCUGGGCUAAUACCCCCGGGGCAAUGACGGUACCUGAAGAAUAAGCACCGGCUAACUACGUGCCAGCCGCCGCCGUAAAAC